rnacentral:rRNA from 1 species
GCCCAGCCGUAAACUUUUACUUACACCCCAAUCGCCAGGGAACUACGAGCAAAGCUUAAAACUCAAGGGACUUGACGGUACCCCACAUCCACCUAGAGGAGCCUGUCCUAUAAUCGAUAACCCCCGCUUAACCUCACCAUUUUUAGCUUAUCAGCCUGUAUACCUCCGUCGUCAGCUUACCACGUGAGCGCCUAUUAGUGAGCUUAAUGCCCCUACGCCAACACGUCAGGUCAAGGUGCAGCAUAUAAAAUGGGAAGAGAUGGGCUACACUAUCUAGAAUAGAUUACACGAAAGACUAUAUAUGAAACCUAGUCAAAAGGCGGAUUUAGAAGUAAAAGAAGACCAAAGUGCUUCCUUUAACUCGGCACUGGGGUGUGUACACACCGCCCGUCACCCUCUUCAAAGCUCCAAUACAGUUUAUAACCCCCAUCAGCGCACCAGAAGAGGCAAGUCGUAACAUGGUAAGUAUACCGGAAGGUGUGCUUGGAAA